AUAUGUGCUAUGAAGAAGAAGAGUAUAUGAAUCUUUAUUUCAAAGAGAGUUAGGAAAUGGUGAGAUCCUAAUAAAUAAAAUCAUAGAAGGAAGCUUUGGAGCGUAGAACUGAAAGAGAAUUUUCUUGUAGUAAGUUCUGGGUUAUCUCCCCUUAUAGAGAAAGAUAAGUGAACUUAAAGAAUGUGUAUAAUAUUCUUUAGUUAAUUUAGGUGGUACCGCGAGAAGUUAGUAGUCUUUUCGUCCUAAAG
rnacentral:ncRNA from 1 species